CACCUCCCGCCCGGCCCGGCCCCAGCCCCGGCCGUAAGCGCAGCCUGACUUGGACCAUUUGUCUCCAAGUACCAGGGGAUUUUCAGACAGCUGUGGAGCCAACCGUUUCAAAAGGGAACAUAGUUCUGGUCUGCGGGCUUUCUACCAGGUGACUGGAUCCUUCUGCCCCCUCCCCCCGGCAGGCCCCGCCCACUGGGAACAAUACCUCCAACCGUGAUGCUAGCUGGGCAGCAUUUUGCAGCCCACCACGGCUGCCCUUAUUCCGGGGUUUGGCCCUGAGGAAGUGGCAGGAGCAGCAGGAGCGAUCAAGGCCCUUUCUGUCCGGCGGGGCCUCGUCGGCUUCCAGCCCCGGGAGGAUGUCUCUGUUGCUGGUGCCGCAGGUCUGAACGGGCCAGCAGGGAGUCUGAAGACAGAAACUGCAAUCUGCUGGUUGUGACACUACGGGAUGCUGCUGAGGAUGUCGCCAGAAUUGUCACCUCACACCUGUCAGAAUGGCCAUCGUCAAGAAGAACACAAAUAACAAAAGCUGGCGAGGCUGUGGAGAAAAGGGAACCCUCCUACACUGUUGGUGGGAAUGCAAAUUGGUGCGGCCACUGUGGGAAACAGUGUGGAGAUUCCUCAAAAAACUAAACACAGAACUACCAGAGGACCCAGCAAUUCCACUCCUGGGUCCCUCUGUGGACUUUACUCCUAGACCGGCCUUAGCCACAGUUUCACCCUGACCCAAGAAGAGCUGUUUUCCCUGAAGAACCCAAUAGAUGGACUCACUUGAAACUGCAGCUGGAGGGAGCUGAGUUGGCCAGCGGAAAGAACCUUCUUCCUUGAGGCUUGGAGAAACAGGAUCUUUUUAAGAGACCUCCAGGGAAAGGGGAGAAGGUGGAUCUCUUUCGAGACCUGUCAGAGACUUGAAUGUCCUCCCCCGACCCCUCCCCAGUCUAAGGAGAGUUCUUAGAGCUGGAAGAGACCCAGCAGUCAUCCAGGUUGACUGACAACUUGAGGAUAGCUUCUCUGAGCACGAAUCCUCCUUAAUGGUUCAUUAUUCAUUCCCUCACUCAUUUCACAGUAGCUGCGACUCAUGGCAUCAUGUUACCAGAUCUUCGCUGUCCCAGGCACCAUGUGGGUAUAGGUGACAACAGCAAGGUAGGGUCCCACUAUCCAGGAGGAAAGAGAAGAAAGUUGUAUACACACGGUCUCCAGACUGUCAAGUUAAUAAAAGCAAUAAACGUCCUUGGUGGUUUGGGGGAAUAUUCUGCAAGAAAGUCUGCGUGCGAGCGGACAUGAUAUCUUCCGACAGCGGCAAUGAAAUGAAGCAGCACGAUCCCAGCAAUAAAGGACCCUGUCACGUGUGCGUCCUGGUGCGCGUGCCCUGCGCCGCAGAGGACCUGAGACCGCGGGUUAGACUCGGCAAGUAACGCAGGGUCCCCGAGAAUUUCAGGCCGUCAUGACCCUUGGACCCUCUGCACAGCAAGACGUGCAGAGCCUCCCUGCCCCACUUGGCAUUCAAGUCUCCCCCAACAUGGCCCCAACUUAAUCUUCUCCUGAGAGGCUGCAUUAGACCCUCGGAGGACCUGCGCGCUGGCAUGCUUGUGGUGUCCGCCUCCACCCUCCACAGAUGUUGAGUAUUUAACAUUGUCCAACUCUCUUCUGACGUUUCCCAUAAUGUCUUUUGAUGCUGUUUUAAAAAUAUCAAAUAAU